AUUGAACGCUGGCGGCAGGCCUAACACAUGCAAGUCGAACGGUAACAGGAAGAAGCUUGCUUCUUUGCUGACGAGUGGCGGACGGGUGAGUAAUGUCUGGGAAACUGCCUGAUGGAGGGGGAUAACUACUGGAAACGGUAGCUAAUACCGUAUAACGUCGCAAGGCCAAAGAGGGGGACCUUCGGGCCUCUUGCCAUCGGAUGUGCCCAGAUGGGAUUAGCUAGUAGGUGGGGUAACGGCUCACCUAGGCGACGAUCCCUAGCUGGUCUGAGAGGAUGACCAGCCACACUGGAACUGAGACACGGUCCAGACUCCUACGGGAGGCAGCAGUGGGGAAUAUUGCACAAUGGGCGCAAGCCUGAUGCAGCCAUGCCGCGUGUAUGAAGAAGGCCUUCGGGUUGUAAAGUACUUUCAGCGGGGAGGAAGGGAGUAAAGUUAAUACCUUUGCUAAUUGACGUUACCCGCAGAAGAAGCACCGGCUAACUCCGUG
rnacentral:rRNA from 1 species